UCCGUCCGUCCGUCCGUUCGGGGUUUUCUCUUUAUAAUUUCAUUUCCCUUUCACAUAUCAUGCUGAAACUUGCUGUGUAGCUUCUUUGUGGGUCACUCUAGAUCAUACUGUAAUUUUGAUCCAUUUCGACCUUUUUUCCAGGAGUUUUGCCCCUUUAUUUGGAAAUAAUUAUUAUAUGGAGGGUACAUAAUUUGUCCGCCCUACUCCUCCCACAGUUUUCAAGUGAGAGCCUUCUUAUUAUGCCCCCUUCAAAGAAGAGGGGCAUAUUGGUUUGCACCUGUCGGUCGGUAGACCACAUGUUGUCCGCUCAAUAUCUUGAGAACCAUUCUCUUGAUGAUAAUGAUAUUUCAUAUGUGGGUUGGUUAUGAGUAGAAGAGGACCCCUAUUGUUUUUCAGGUCAAAAGGUCAAGGGUCAAUCUACUCUGGACAUAGGAAUAUAAUGUCCGCUCAAUAUCUUGAGAAUCAUUUUUUUGAAAAACAUCAAACUUAGCACACUGGUACAUCCUAAGGAGUAGAUGACCCCUAUUGAUUUUGGGGUCAUAUGGUCAAAGGUCAAGGGUCAAACUGGACAUUGGAAUAUACUGUCUGCUCAAUAUCUUGAGAACCCUUUGCUUGACAGACAUCAAAUUUGGUACACUGGUACAUCUUCAGGAGAAGAUGAUCCCUAUUGAUUUUGAGGUCACAUGUUUAAAGGUCAAGGGUCAACCUCGACAUUGGAAUAUACUGUCCGCUCAAUAUCUUAAGAACCCUUUGCUUGACAGACAUCAAACUUAGUACAGUGGUGAAUAUUCAGGAGGAGAUGACUCCUAUUGAUUUUGAGGUCACAUGGUCAAAGGUCAAACUGGACAUAGUAAUAUACUGUCCACUCAAUAUCUUGAUAACCCUUUUGCUUGACAGAUAUCAAACUUAGUACACUGGUACAUCUUCAGGAGAAGAUGACCCAUAUUGAUUUUGAGGUCAAAAGUCAAUUGUUGAACUGGACAUAGUAAUAUAUUGUCUCCUAUAUUUUAAGAAUUAUUUGCUUGAUUGACACCAAACUUGGUACACUGGUACAGCAUAAGGAGUAGAUGACCCCUAUUGAUUUUUAGGUCACAUGGUCAAUUCACUCUUGACAUAGGAAGAUAUUGUCUGCUCAAUAUUUUGAAUUGAUGAUACUACUAUCAAUUAAAUGAUGUGUGUGUAUAACCCUUUUCAAUUUUGCACCAUGGGGGACAUAUGUGUUUUACAAACAUCUCUUGUUUUGUGGAGUGUUUGUAUGGGUAUUGAAGAUGUGCAUGUGGGAUGGAUUUUGAUUUUCUACAAUUUUUGAGAAAAUUACAGGUUGUUGAACUUGGUCUAUUUGGAAAUUAAUAUUCUAUGGAGGGUACAUAAUUUGUCCGCCCAACUCCUCCCACAGUUUUUAAGUGAGGACCAUCUUAUUUUGUGGAGUGUUUGUAUGGGUAUUGAAGAUGUGCAUCUGGGGAAGGAUUUUGAUUUUCUUCCAUUUUUGAAAAAAUUACAGGUUGUUGAACUUGGUCCAUUUUGAGGAAAUCUAGAUUUUUAAGCUAAGACCCUUUGUUCAUAUGAAAGUUUGUCACAGCCUCAUGAUGGCUGAUAAUACCUGAAGCAAAGUUAUACAAAUUAUAGCACAAGAAAAACAGCCUAUGUAAGCAUUCCACGGGCGUAUUAUGUACCGUUUGCGGUACUCUUGUUAAGGAUAACUAUGGAAUAUACAGCUUGAUGUCCAUUAUUUGAAGUAUGAUUCCAUUAUAAGUAAUUAGACCCAACAAAUUAAUUGAUACCGCUAUCAGAAAUCCAAACAGUAUUAAAUAAAAUAUCAAAGACUUUUUAAAUCGAUGAAAAAAAUCAGAGAAAUAUAUGUAUGAAAUCAAAUUCAUUUAUUGAUGUAUAUGUUUGAUUAGAAAAUCAAAAUGGGGGUCUGAUAAAGUUCUAAAUGGGAAUCUAUAAAAAGUCAUAUCGACAGACUGUGAAAUUGUAGAACAUUCAGUGAAUGCCAAUACGUUACAAAAGGACGGACAAGGAAAUGUUUAUGUUCCUAGAAUAUUUUUUUUCCAUACCAAUACUUCCGUGUUACUCUAAUCAGAGAUGACCUGUAUUGAAGUGCUUCAAAAAUCAAAGUAUGCCCAUACCCUAUUUCCACGAAACAGUCUUUUGUAUUUCGUUGUGUCGAAAGUGUUUCCCUAUUCAAAACACUUUGGAAACAGGUCUACAUUUAAGUGGAACUAUACUCAAAUAGACAUACUCCUAAGUGGUUUAAAUGUUUGAUAAUCUUGAGGCCUCUUUGACAAUAUUUUUAGAAGGCAGUUGGAAAAAGACGAUGUAGCAUAUCCUUGGAUAAUUCUAACUCUUGACAAUAUGUAUAGAGGCAUGUAAUGCAUGUUGGAGCGGUUUACCAUGUUGCACGUUCUAAAAAUAGUACCUAUACCUGUAUGGUGUAACACAUAUCUUUACGAUGUUACAGAACCGGUACAAUGUUACACAGAACGUCAAAAAGUUUUAUUUUUUACCGGUUUAUCUUACACAAAACGUCAAAAUGUUUCAUUUACCGGUUUAUCUCACAGGCACCUGAAGUAUGGAUAUUACUACCCUCCCCCCUUUUUUUCAUAAUUUUUUUUUUGGUGGCAAUAAUUUCUCUGAAAUGUAUGAAUUCCCAGUCUAUCUCAUCCCUCUUUCGAUUCAUGUAAUCGUUUCACGCUUUUUGUAAGCUUUAAAGAUUGGCCUUCUACCGGUAUAAUAAAAUACACAAGGUAAGAAACAAAAAUUUGUAAACAAACAGGGGGUCCCCGUUUCCGGGCACAUUUUCCAAGUAAUUACAGCGUUACCUAAGGAAUUUUGACGAGCGGCAGGUCGGGGAGAUGUCAUACUACAAGUCUCUUCAACUCAAAACCCAUCUCGUCUCUUUUAUUUGACACAAUCUUGCGUGCAUUGAUCGGACAGGGCUUCAUCUCUUCCACUGGCAGCCAAAAAGGAGGUCACAGAGUACGAAUUUGUUGUACGCGCCGUGUGAUUGGUUCGCAAAGACAUUGCUUAGUCUCGGGAUCAUCCGAAGGGUCUCGGGAUUAUUCGCGGACCAAUCACACGACACGUUAUAAAUUCGUACUCUGUGACUUCCUUUUUGGCUGCCAGUGGAAGAGAUGAAGCCCUGUCCGAUCAAUGCACGCAAGAUUGUGUCAAAUAAAAGAGAUGAGAUGGGUUUUGAGUUGAAGAGACUUGUAGUAUGACAUCUCCCCGACCUGCCGCUCGUCAAAAUUCCUUAGGUGUAAAAUAAGAAGAACGGUAUGAAAUCAAUUUUCAAAUUGUCGAAAAUAUUCCUUUACCUACACCCUCUCGUUCCCUAUUCACAUCUUUGUUGCCUGAUUCCACGACUCUGCACGCCACUACCCGAAACCAGGUACAACUCGCUCAACUGAACACACCACGCUCAACACAUCAUGGUGAAGUACCACAAAUUUUGAACUAUAUUUAGCGCUUACAGUCAUACCGUGAAGAUUCUUUUAUGUGACAACGCCUGCCACAACACGGGACCUCCGUUUUUAAGAUCAUACCCGAAAGACCUGUAAUUUUCACUUCUAGAUCCUUAACGUUUGACGAAGGAGCAAUCACUACCAAUGUUAACGUCUUAUAUUUGAUGCGCUCAGGCACGAGCGGGACUCGAAUUCACGAUCCUCCGGUUACGAAACGAACUCUCUACCACUGAGGUACCGCAACCGGUACACAAGACGUCAAAAUAUACCGAUUUUUCGGUUUAUUUUACACAAGACUCAAAAUAUUUCAAGUCCGGGUUUAAUGUUCCAGAAGACGUCAAAAUGUUCCAAACACCGAUUAAUGUUACACUUAACGUCAAAAUGUUUCAAUUUCCGGCAUAUAUUAUACAAAACGUCAAAGUGUUUCAAUUUCCGGCUUAUAUUUUAAAAACGUCAAAAUGUUUGAACAGUUACCGGUUUCUAUUACACAAGGUGUUGAAUAUUCUUACCGAUCGCAGAAGCUCAAUGGUAGAACGUUCUCUUUGUGAUCUGGAGGUCGUGAGUUCGAAUCCCACUCGUGCCAUGGUCGCGUCAACAUAAGCAGUGAUUGUUCCUUCGCCAAACACUCCGUAUUUAGAAGUAAGAAUCACUCGAGUUUUACAAAUAUGACUUUGAAAACGGAGGUCCCGUGUCGCUGCAGAGGUCGAGGACGAGGACGUUAGGAGCCGGAUCAACAAAGCAAGGGUAGCGUUCAACACCCUACGACCCAUCUGGAACUCCAGACCCCUAUCCCAGCACAGCAAGGUCCGCAUCUUUAACACCAAUGUCAAAGCAGUCCUCCUCUAUGGAUCCGAGACAUGGCGAGUAACCAACACCAUCACCAACAAGAUACAGACAUUCGUUAACAAGUGAUUGCGCCACAUCCUCAACAUCAGGUGGCCGGAGAAGAUCUCGAACGUAGAACUAUGGAAAAGAACCAGCCAAAAUCCAAUAGGUCAGGACAUCAAGAAAAGAAAAUGGGGCUGGAUAGGACAUACGCUCCGCAAACCAACUGACAACGUCACAAGACAAGCACUAGAGUGGAACCCACAGGGAAAAAGGAAAGUAGGACGGCCCAAACAGUCCUGGAGAAGAUCCGUCGAGAGCGAAAUGAAGGAAGCCGGAAUGACGUGGACUCAGCUGAAGAGAGCAGCCCAUAACAGAGUCCGUUGGCGUGGUGUUGUUGCAGCCCUAUGCUCCACCGGGAGUCAACAGGAAUAAGUCAAUAUGGUGCAGCCUUGCCUUUAUAGUGUGACACUUGAUAUUAUUAGCAUUUUUAAGGUGUAUAUUAGCUGGGAUCAAUUUGUGUAAUAUACAUUGUUUAUUUGCUCAUUUGCAAACCUAGUACACAAUUAGUAAACGGUUGUUUGUAUUAAAUUGUCCCAGUCAAUUAAUUUUGUAUAUUUUGGUCUAUUACUUCAUUUUGUUUGAACUUGGUUUAUUAUGUCAUUUGUUUGAUCAUGAUAAUAAAUGACAUGUUCACUCAAAAUGUUGUGUUAUUUCAUUAGACACUUCAAUGAUUAUCCAGUAACAAAAACUGAGCUACAGAAUGCCAGAGUUUUUGUUCUUAUAUGAGUUUUUCUAUUUCAAAAUUGCAGAAUAUAAAAGAACUGUGAAUGAUAAUA